rnacentral:lncRNA from 1 species
AAAAAAACACAUGUCAAAGUUACCCAGGACCUUUACGAUGAAAAUGACACCUUGUAUAUACCAAUGAUAUGCUCAGUUUGGUUCCUAGGGUGAAAAGAUCCAGGGUCAAUAUUGUCAAUAAUGGCAUCAGGCUGUCCAAAUUGGGGGUAAGGGUCGAUUUAACAUUUUGUUAGCCUACGGCCACAUAUCUUAGUAUAUAUAAA